rnacentral:rRNA from 1 species
UACAGAGGUCUCAAGCGUUGUUCGGAUUCAUUGGGCGUAAAGGGUGCGUAGGUGGCGCGCUAAGUCAGGUGUGAAAUUUCGGAGCUUAACUCCGAAACUGCAUUCGAUACUGCGGUGCUUGAGGACUGGAGAGGAGACUGGAAUUCAUGGUGUAGCAGUGAAAUGCGUAGAGAUCAUGAGGAAGACCAGUGGCGAAGGCGGGUCCCUGGACAGUUCCUGACACUGAGACACGAAGGCCAGGGGAGCAAACGGG